GAGGAAGUCCCCUGUUGAAGACUUGGUCACUUGUCUUCGUCAUAUCGUCAAUGUACCAGAACGUCUUCCUUUGUUUGAUGACAUCCGCCCAUUUGUACGCAAUGAACACCAGAUGAAGUACAACGUUUCUAUCCCCUAUUUUCGCACACGUUUAAGACAGGUCCAUUUGAAACGACGUGGGAACGCUCCACUUGGCUUUACCAUAAGGGGUGGAUGUGAAUACGGGACUGGUGUCUUUAUUUCAGAGGUCGAUUCAGGAUCUGAAGGGGAACGUAAAGGACUGCGGGU